rnacentral:RNase_P_RNA from 2 species
GGUUAGAAUUUGGUAGUCGCUGCUUUAUCAUCUCAAUUAUCAAGGGAUUGCUAAAGGAGAGGAAAGUCCGGGCUCCAUAGAGCAGGGUGCCAGAUAAUCUCUGGAAAGCAGGAGCUUAUGACAAGUGCAGCAGAAAGAAGAUCGCCGAUGGCUAUAUUCCUAUAGAUUUAUAGGAUAUAUGUACAGGUAAGAGUGAAAGGGUACGGUAAGAGCGUACCGUGCGACUGGUAACAGUUCGUAGCUAGGUAAACUUCCACCUGGAGCAAGACCAAAUAGACUUCCGCAUUGCGUUGCUCGCGUAUGAGAAGUGGGUAGGUCGCUUGAGCCUUUGAGUGAUCACUGGCCUAGAUGAAUGACUACCUCCAUGAAUAUGGAACAGAACCCGGCUUAUAUAUUCUAACUCUGU